AGGCCGCGGUAUAUUAACUGUGCAAAGGUAGCAUAAUCAUUAGCUUUUUAAUUGAAGGCUUGUAUGAAGGGUUGGACAAAGAAAAGACUGUCUUUAAUUUUAGAUUUGAAUUUAACUUUUAAGUGAAAAGGCUUAGAUAUAUUUGGGGGACGAUAAGACCCUAUAAAUCUUUAUAUGGUAUUUUGUUGGGGUGACAAGAAUACAAAAUUAACUGUUCUUAGAUUAUACAAAUUUAUUUGGUUAAAGUUAAUAGAUCCUUUAUAGAGAUCAAUAGUUUAAGUUACUUUAGGGAUAACAGCGUUAUUUUUUUUGAGAGUUCUAAUCGAAAAAAAAGUUUGCGACCUCGAUGUUGAAUUAAAGUUUCUCUGUGGUGCAGGGGUUACAGGAGGAAACUUUUAAAAUUUUACGUGAUCUGAG
rnacentral:rRNA from 1 species